rnacentral:snoRNA from 1 species
AGGCCAUGGUGUGGGCAAACUCGUUGGAGUUCUUUAUAGCGAUCCCAUGCCUCAUAUAGGGAUUCAUUUUCAUGUUGGGUAAAUGAUGAGGUUAUUUCUUUAAUAAGCCU